UACGGAGGAUCCGAGCGUUAUCCGGAUUUAUUGGGUUUAAAGGGUGCGCAGGCGGGAAAUUAAGUCGGCGGUGAAAUUUUGCGGCUCAACCGUAAAAGUGCCUUCGAUACUGGUUUUCUUGAGUGUGGAUGAAGUAGGCGGAAUUUGUGGUGUAGCGGUGAAAUGCAUAGAUAUCACGAGGAACUCCGAUUGCGCAGGCAGCUUACUAGGCCAUAACUGACGCUCAGGCACGAAGGCGUGGGGAUCAAACAGGAUUAGAUACCCUGGUAGU
rnacentral:rRNA from 1 species